rnacentral:lncRNA from 1 species
GAACUUGAAAGGGGGGUGUGUGUAAUGUACCUUUUCCAAUCCCGGGCUGUAUAUGGAGAUUUGGGAUUCUUUAAACCGGCGCUACCUGGAUUUUAUUAAAAAGCGGGGAGCUCGGCGGGAGGAAAGCUGGCUUUUCCGGGGGCUGCGGGAGCCCGGCCGCGGGAGGGCGGAGGAGUUGGCGCGCCGAGCGCUCGGCCCGGGGAGCGGUUUUCUACCAAAAAAAGGAAAGGCGGGCAAAAAGUGUGAGGCGGCUGCGGGUGGCGAAGGGGAGCAGCGGCCGCGGGAUGGCGGGCAGCACGGGCGCCUAACCGCGCCGGGAGCCGGGGCCGCCACCGGAGUCGCCGUCGCCGGAGCCCGGAGCCGGGAGCCCCGCCGCGCCAGACGCCGUGUGCGCCGCCUCGCGCAGCUCCGCCUGGCCGCCCGGAGGGGCCCCACCGCCGGCCGCCUGUGCGCCCCGGGCUCCGGGCCCGCCGCCGAGCGCAAGCCCCGCUGGCCGCCGCCGCCAUGCACGCCGCGGAGCCCCCGCCGCCCGAGGACUCUGGGACUACGCCGAGGCCGAACUUUUAGGUCCAACUGAGCGAGGCCCGCGGGCCGGGUGGGGGGCUGGCCGCGGCACUCCCGCGGAGGAUGGAUGGCCGAGACUUCGGGCCCCCGCGGUCCGUGCACGGCCCCCCGCCGCCGCUGCUCUCCGGCCUGGCCAUGGAUAGCCACCGCGUGGGCGCGGCCACGGCCGGACGCCUGCCCGCCUCGGGCUUGCCCGGCCCGCUGCCGCCCGGGAAGUACAUGGCCGGCCUCAACCUCCACCCGCACCCGGGCGAGGCCUUCUUGGGCAGCUUUGUGGCCAGCGGGAUGGGGCCCUCGGCCUCGUCCCAUGGGAGCCCGGUGCCCCUGCCCUCUGACCUCUCCUUCCGCUCCCCCACCCCCAGCAACCUGCCCAUGGUGCAGCUGUGGGCCGCCCACGCCCACGAAGGAUCCUCAGCAGGAGGAAUUCCUUCCUGGCCGCCUGGGACACCCAGGAGCUGGUGAUGCCGUGU